rnacentral:lncRNA from 10 species
UCCAUCCUAGAGUCAUCGGCUCAUUGAUCUGAUUGAAAGCCAAGAGAUACUGGCAUCACCCAGAGAAUGUAUGUACCUAGGAAAGAACACAGGAGCAGGCUGAAUGUACUAGGGCACUCUAGGAAAAGCUGUUCAAGUUGUAAUGUAAACAGUUGGUUCUUUGCUGAAUGAGUUGGGUGAUUAAAAUUUGCAUUUAUGUGGUUUCUCAGCCCAGUGGUAGGCUUUCCGUUUGAAUGCCUUACCUGUUUCACUUUGAAUAUCCUCAGUCAGGGUUGCUGAGUGUCAGAUGUAUGCACAUGUGAAUGGAUUGCUAGGAAAAAACAGGAGUUCUUUGUGUUCAUUUUAUGUUAUGUUAAAAUGGUGAGUCUGUGACAUUUUACAUUUUUCCAGCUGGCAACAUAACAUACAUUUAAAAACUUCAACAUUAAAAUGGAUGUCUAAUUUAUACUUUUUGUUUUAUAGUUUUGAAGUGAUUAAAGUUAUCCAUGGCAAAUUGUUGGAUAUGGUGGGGAAAGUACAAAUACCUAUUAUGUUGGUUGGGAAUAAGAAAGACCUGC